rnacentral:rRNA from 1 species
AGUGAACGCUGGCGGUAGGCCUAACACAUGCAAGUCGAACGGCAGCACAGUAAGAGCUUGCUCUUACGGGUGGCGAGUGGCGGACGGGUGAGGAAUACAUCGGAAUCUACUUUUUCGUGGGGGAUAACGUAGGGAAACUUACGCUAAUACCGCAUACGACCUACGGGUGAAAGCAGGGGAUCUUCGGACCUUGCGCGAUUGAAUGAGCCGAUGUCGGAUUAGCUAGUUGGCGGGGUAAAGGCCCACCAAGGCGACGAUCCGUAGCUGGUCUGAGAGGAUGAUCGGCCACACUGGAACUGAGACACGGUCCAGACUCCUACGGGAGGCAGCAGUGGGGAAUAUUGGACAAUGGGCGAAAGCCUGAUCCAGCCAUACCGCGUGGGUGAAGAAGGCCUUCGGGUUGUAAAGCCCUUUUGUUGGGAAAGAAAAGCAGCAGGUUAAUACCCGGCUGUUCUGACGGUACCCAAAGAAUAAGCACCGGCUAACUUCGUG